rnacentral:lncRNA from 1 species
AAGUAAAGGUACGGGAUCAGGGGUAUGGCUGUGGACACAGCAACAGAGCUCCACAUUUCUAAAGGAAUAUGCUAAUUUUCAUCAACUGAGGAUUUACAAAGUCAAAUGUUGCCUAAUGUGAAGAGCAGAUUUUGGAUCUGGAAUAAGCAGUGAAGGUACAUGCAAGGCAAAUGAAAGCCCUGGGAGAAAGAUGAACUUCUCCAUGCUGGCACAGAAGACGGCAGCAGCAGAUUUGCUGAGGAAGCAAGAGGAGUGAUGGCUGAAGGACACCAGCAAUUAUAAUUCAAGAUGCAUCACAUAGACCAGACGUGUAUUUCCCCACAGUAAUGCAAAGCCUUGUUCACUUCUAUGUGGCAAGCAGCAACUU